CUUCACGGAUUACGCUACGAUGCUGGACUGCCUGGUGAAUACCUACAAGGAUGUCGAAUACCUAUGCGAGUGCAACAUCGUGGAAAACUAUUUCGGAACUGAAGGCGAAAUCGCACGGUUCAUCAACAAUAUAGGUAAAGAUACUGCAUUUGAUAUUAACAACUGUUACUUAUCUGAGCUCUUUAGAGAUGUUCAUCAGCAUUACAGGAAUAGUUGGCAUGUUCAGUGGGCGAGCUUCAAACAUACUUACUUUGAAACACCAUGGUCGUUUAUAUCGGCAUUAGCUGCCUUGAUCCUCCUUUUACUUACCAUCGCACAGACCUUCUU
rnacentral:lncRNA from 1 species